AUUGAACGCUGGCGGCAGGCUUAACACAUGCAAGUCGAACGAUGAAACUCUAGCUUGCUAGAGAAGAUUAGUGGCGGACGGGUGAGUAACAUUUAGGAAUCUGCCUAGUAGUGGGGGAUAGCUCGGGGAAACUCGAAUUAAUACCGCAUACGACCUACGGGUGAAAGGGGGCGCAAGCUCUUGCUAUUAGAUGAGCCUAAAUCAGAUUAGCUAGUUGGUGGGGUAAAGGCCCACCAAGGCGACGAUCUGUAACUGGUCUGAGAGGAUGAUCAGUCACACCGGAACUGAGACACGGUCCGGACUCCUACGGGAGGCAGCAGUGGGGAAUAUUGGACAAUGGGGGCAACCCUGAUCCAGCCAUGCCGCGUGUGUGAAGAAGGCCUUUUGGUUGUAAAGCACUUUAAGCAGGGAGGAGAGGCUAAUGGUUAAUACCCAUUAGAUUAGACGUUACCUGCAGAAUAAGCACCGGCUAACUCUGUGCCAGCAGCCGCGGUAAUACAGAGGGUGCGAGCGUUAAUCGGAAUUACUGGGCGUAAAGCGAGUGUAGGUGGCUCAUUAAGUCACAUGUGAAAUCCCCGGGCUUAACCUGGGAACUGCAUGUGAUACUGGUGGUGCUAGAAUAUGUGAGAGGGAAGUAGAAUUCCAGGUGUAGCGGUGAAAUGCGUAGAGAUCUGGAGGAAUACCGAUGGCGAAGGCAGCUUCCUGGCAUAAUAUUGACACUGAGAUUCGAAAGCGUGGGUAGCAAACAGGAUUAGAUACCCUGGUAGUCCACGCCGUAAACGAUGUCUACUAGCCGUUGGGGUCCUUGAGACUUUAGUGGCGCAGUUAACGCGAUAAGUAGACCGCCUGGGGAGUACGGCCGCAAGGUUAAAACUCAAAUGAAUUGACGGGGGCCCGCACAAGCGGUGGAGCAUGUGGUUCAAUUCGAUGCAACGCGAAGAACCUUACCUGGUCUUGACAUAGUGAGAAUCCUGCAGAGAUGCGGGAGUGCCUUCGGGAAUUCACAUACAGGUGCUGCAUGGCUGUCGUCAGCUCGUGUCGUGAGAUGUUGGGUUAAGUCCCGCAACGAGCGCAACCCUUUUCCUUACUUGCCAGCGGGUUAAGCCGGGAACUUUAAGGAUACUGCCAGUGACAAACUGGAGGAAGGCGGGGACGACGUCAAGUCAUCAUGGCCCUUACGACCAGGGCUACACACGUGCUACAAUGGUAGGUACAGAGGGUUGCUACACAGCGAUGUGAUGCUAAUCUCAAAAAGCCUAUCGUAGUCCGGAUUGGAGUCUGCAACUCGACUCCAUGAAGUCGGAAUCGCUAGUAAUCGCAGAUCAGAAUGCUGCGGUGAAUACGUUCCCGGGCCU
rnacentral:rRNA from 1 species